rnacentral:misc_RNA from 2 species
AACGCACCUUGCGCUCCUUGGUAUUCCGAGGAGCAUGCCUGUUUGAGUGUCAUAAAACUCUCAACUCCUAAUGGUUUUUUCGGAAACUGUUAGUUGAUGUUGGAUUUGAAUGUUGCUGGCUUUCGAGUCGGCUCGUUCGAAAUGUAUUAGCUGGUUCCCUCUUUAAUUUGGUUCCACUCGGCGUGAUAAGUAUCUUCGUCGAGGACAGUUGACUUCGGUUGGCUGGCCAGAAUAGAUUGGUUGAGCUGCUUCUAAUCCUUUCUUUGUACUUCGGUAUACUGAAAACUUUUUAUGCUCUGGCCUCAAAUCAGGUAGGAUUACCCGCUGAACUUAA